UGAGUCGUAAUGUAAUAUCCAGUCCAAUCGAACCUAAUCCACUCGAUCCUGACCCCCACAAGUACAGAUCUCAAAGCAUAGAAAAAUUAAAAAAAGAUUGGACAGCACGUGCUGUGUGGAGGAAUCAGACUCCCAGUGUGAGUCCUGUUGCUUGGCUUCCCGAUGGAGUCAGAGAUGGAAGCCGGAGAGGAGUCAGACUCCUCCCCUUGGUCCUCUUUAAAGAGAGGCCAACCCUCCUCUUGGAACCCCC
rnacentral:lncRNA from 1 species